GACGAACGCUGGCGGCGCGCUUAACACAUGCAAGUCGAACGGAAAGGCCUGCUUUCCCUUGUGGAUUGCGGAUACUCGAGUGGCGAACGGGUGAGUAACACGUGAGUGAUCUGCCCCCAACUUGGGUAUAAGCCUGGGAAACUGGGUCUAAUUCCCGAUAGGACUGCAGGGUGGUGCCUGUGGUGGAAAACGAUUUUCUAGUGGUUGGGGAUGAGCUCGCGGCCUAUCAGCUUGUUGGUGGGGUAAUGGCCUACCAAGGCGGCGACGGGUAGCCGGCCUGAGAGGGUGGACGGCCACAUUGGGACUGAGAUACGGCCCAGACUCCUACGGGAGGCAGCAGUGGGGAAUAUUGCACAAUGGGCGGAAGCCUGAUGCAGCGACGCCGCGUGGGGGAUGACGGCCUUCGGGUUGUAAACUCCUUUCGACCGCGAGGAAGCCACCUGGUUGGAAGGGUGGUGACGGUAGUGGUAGAAGAAGCACCGGCUAACUACGUG
rnacentral:rRNA from 1 species